UGUCAAAUAGCUCAGAGCUGCUCAGUUGGUAGAGCAUGAGACUCUUAAUCGCAGUGCUGUGGGUCUGAGCCCCACUUUGGACAA